rnacentral:rRNA from 1 species
GGGAAAUAUUGGGCAAUGGGGGAAACCCUGACCCAGCAACGCCGCGUGAAGGAAGAAGGCUUUCGGGUUGUAAACUUCUUUGACGAGGGACGAAAGAAAUGACGGUACCUCGAAAACAAGCCACGGCUAACUACGUGCCAGCAGCCGCGGUAAUACGUAGGUGGCAAGCGUUGUCCGGAUUUACUGGGUGUAAAGGGCGCGUAGGCGGGAUAGCAAGUCAGAUGUGAAAUGCCAGGGCUUAACCCUGGAGCUGCAUUUGAAACUGCUGUUCUUGAGUAUCGGAGAGGCAGGCGGAAUUCCUAGUGUAGCGGUGAAAUGCGUAGAGAUUAGGAAGAACACCAGUGGCGAAGGCGGUUCUCUGGACUGUAACUGACGCUGAGGCACGAAAGCGUGGGUAGCAAACA